CCUACGGGAGGCAGCAGUGGGGAAUAUUGGGCAAUGGAGGAAACUCUGACCCAGCGACGCCGCGUGCGGGAUGAAGGCCUUCGGGUUGUAAACCGCUUUCAGCAGGGAAGAAGCGAAAGUGACGGUACCUGCAGAAGAAGCACCGGCUAACUAUGUGCCAGCAGCCGCGGUAAUACAUAGGGUGCAAGCGUUGUCCGGAAUUAUUGGGCGUAAAGAGCUCGUAGGUGGUUCGUCACGUCGGAUGUGAAAAUCUGGGGCUUAACCCCAGACCUGCAUUCGAUACGGGCGAGCUUGAGUAUGGUAGGGGAGUCUGGAAUUCCUGGUGUAGCGGUGGAAUGCGCAGAUAUCAGGAGGAACACCAAUGGCGAAGGCAGGACUCUGGGCCAUUACUGACACUGAGGAGCGAAAGCGUGGGGAGCGAACAGGAUUAGAUACCCUGGUAGUCCACGCCGUAAACGGUGGGCACUAGUUGUGGGGACCUUCCGAUGGUCUCUGCGACGCAGCUACGCAUAGUCGCCCGCCGUCGGGAGGUACGAGCGCGAAGAAGUUAAACUUAAAGUAGUAAGUUAGUACGGCGUGAGACGUCGCCGACGGACGACGACGAGGGAGGAGG
rnacentral:rRNA from 1 species